UGAUGUGUGAACACGAAUAUCCUUCCCCUCUCCUGGGAUUCAACUCACAGUGACCUCUACCCUCUCUCUGCAGGAGGAAUAUGAAACGUUGGCAGUGUGAUUAUUCCUGCCCCAGGCACAUUCCCUGUUUUCCUCCGCCGGGACUCGGCCGUGCCACAGUGUCUGGGUGCUGCUCCCCUGCAGCCAACAGCAAUCCCAGUAUCCUAAAGGACAUUUAACAUUAUAACUGUGAUCGAGGAGGAACCGAAAUAUUUCUUCAAGACACCUGAGCUCCUGCAGCACUGAGAGCUUUGGGAGCUGACCCUGCCACAGGAGGAAAGGGCCAGCCCCUUGCUUUUCAUGGAAUCAUGGAAUAUCCUGAGUUGGGAGGGACCCAAAAGGACCAUCCAGUCCAACCCAACCACCAUCUGGGGGAAGAGCCUUUCCCUGAUUUCCAGCCUGACCCUCCCCUGACACAGCUCCAGCCAUUAAAGCUUCCCCACAGCAGAGCUGGAAUUGCAGGAAGAGAGGGAUGACCGUGGUUGGUUCCUGGGAAAAAGGAGCUCUGGGUGUCCACCCUGCCAUGGAGGAGCAUCUUCACCUGCUGAUGGAUCAGCAAACCUGUGUUUUUUCCCUGCUUGCAGAAUCAUUGAGGUUGGAAAAGCCCUGCCAGCACCGAUCCGUCCCCAAGGUGCACAUUAAAGACAAAAUGAUCCUGCCCUGGUGCAUCUGGUGGAAGAACAGCUGCUCAGUUAGAUCCUGCUGUCAGGGAUUCAGGAACUGGACAUCAAACAAAACGUGGAGGGCCCAGGACUUGGCUCAUCUGUGUGCUCAGAACCAGCCCCAGCUGCCUCAAGCUGCUGCUGAAGUGAUUUUUUUUAAGAAGUAGAUUGAAGGAAGGACCUCAAGUGCAGCUCGGAUGUGGAAAGAAAGACUCCUCCGAGUGAUGACAGAGCUUGGUGGCCUCGAAGUUCCCAGCAGAUGGUUCCCCCAGGGCUGAUCACAGCUUCAGCUCUCACUGAUUUGGCAAUUUUGGGUGGCUUCCUGCCAAAACCCACCUAAAAAAUGGCAAGCAGUGCAGUUUGGGAAAUUGGACAAGAGCAAAGUCAACUGUGAUGGAACCAGCACCAGUCUCCUGCCAUCACCUUCAAGUAUCAGGAGCUUAAUUGCAGAUCAAUGGAUUUUAAUUGGCUUCAGCUCACCUCACAGUUCCCAUUUCAGCCACGCAGAAGAAUUUGGAACAGCAACACAGGGGAGUUCCAGCAAGGUGGAGCCUGGACCUGCUUGAGGGAGAGUUUUGGAGAGGCCU